rnacentral:rRNA from 1 species
CUACGGGAGGCAGCAGUAGGGAAUAUUGCGCAAUGGGGGAAACCCUGACGCAGCGACGCCGCGUGAGUGAUGAAGGCCUUCGGGUCGUAAAGCUCUGUUGCAAGGGAAUAAUAAAUGAAUGUACCUUGUGAGGAAGGAUCGGCUAACUUCGUGCCAGCAGCCGCGGUAAGACGAGGGAUCCUAGCGUUGUUCGGAAUCAUUGGGCGUAAAGCGGGUGUAGGUGGCUUGGUAAGUCAGGUGUGAAAGCCCAGGGCUUAACCCUGGAAGUGCAUUUGAAACUGCCGAGCUUGAGUGUGGGAGAGGAUAGUGGAAUUCCUGGUGUAGUGGUGAAAUACGUAGAUAUCAGGAGGAACAUCGGUGGCGAAGGCGGCUAUCUGGCCCAACACUGACACUCAGACCCGAAAGCGUGGGGAUCAAACAGGAUUAGAUACCCGUGUAGUCC